UACGAAGGGGGCUAGCGUUGCUCGGAAUCACUGGGCGUAAAGCGCACGUAGGCGGCUUCUAAGUCAGGGGUGAAAUCCUGGAGCUCAACUCCAGAACUGCCUUUGAUACUGGAGAGCUUGAGUCCGGAAGAGGUGAGUGGAACUCCGAGUGUAGAGGUGAAAUUCGUAGAUAUUCGGAAAGAACACCAGUGGCGAAGGCGGCUCACUGGGCCUUACUGACGCUGAGGAGCGAAAGCGUGGGAGCGAACAGG
rnacentral:rRNA from 1 species